CAGAGUUCACGGGCAGCCAGGAGAAAUCCGAGCUGUCCGCACACUCCCACCCUUUGUUUACCUUACCUUUGUUGCUUUGGCAGGCCCGUCGUCUUGACCGCUGGCUUCGGCUGGCCAGUGCCUGCCAGAGGACCUCAAACUCUGUUUAAUAGAUUGUCUGAGUACUAUAUAAAUAGUUA
rnacentral:misc_RNA from 1 species